rnacentral:rRNA from 1 species
AACCGUGGCUCAGUUCAGAUCGUAGGCUGCACUCGCCUACGUGAAGGAGGAAUCGCUAGUAAUCGCAGGUCAUCAUACUGCGGUGAAUACGUUCCCGGGCCUUGUACACACCGCCCGUCACACCAUGGGAGUUGGCCACGCCCGAAGCCGUUACUCCAACCCUUGUGGAGGAGGACGUCGAAGGUGGGGCUGAUGACUGGGGUGAAGUCGUAACAAGGUAGCCGUACCGGAAGGUGCGGCUGGAUCACCUCCUAA